rnacentral:rRNA from 1 species
AAGUCGUAACAAGGUAACCGUAGGUGAACCUGCGGUUGGAUCAUUAACAAAUUAUUUAGGCCCCUGGCUGUCCCAAAAGGGCGAAGGGGGGACAACCUAAACAUUUGUGUGCACCAUAUCUGUCCUUGGUAGUUCGAGUGUCCUGGGUUGCGUAACUGCUCCAGGUACCUACUGAAGCGAGCCUUCGGGAUUGCUGAUGUUGGGCUGCCGCCUUUUGAACAAACCUAUUGUAUAUUUGUUUUGUCUGAAAUUGUUUGAUCUUAUGAUUGAAUUUAAAUACAACUUUUGACAACGGAUCUCUUGGCUCUCGCAACGAUGAAGAACGCAGCGAAAUGCGAUAAGUAAUGUGAAUUGCAGAAUUCAGUGAAUCAUCGAAUCUUUGAACGCACAUUGCGCUCUUUGGUAUUCCGGAGAGCAUGCCUGUUUGAGAAUCAGUAAAUUCAUCAACCCAAGGACUUUGGAAUUUAUUCCUCGGUCUGGAAGUUGGAUAUGGGCGUUUUGCUGCCUCUGGCAGCAAUAGCCUGAAAUUUAAUGUUACGCUCCUUUGGACUGAGAAGUCUCGGGCAAACGCAUGAAUGAGGCAACUCACAAAUACGUCAGCUCUUGAGAUUUAUCAAUUCUUGGUGGGGUGACUCAACUGAUUAACCAGGGUUUGUUGGUGUCAACCAGCUUAUUCUGAACACUUGGUCUCAAAUCAGGUAGGAAAACCCGCUGAACUUA